rnacentral:rRNA from 1 species
UGGGGAAUUUUGGACAAUGGGCGAAAGCCUGAUCCAGCAAUGCCGCGUGUGUGAAGAAGGCCUUCGGGUUGUAAAGCACUUUUGUCCGGAAAGAAAUCCUUGGCUCUAAUACAGUCGGGGGAUGACGGUACCGGAAGAAUAAGCACCGGCUAACUACGUGCCAGCAGCCGCGGUAAUACGUAGGGUGCAAGCGUUAAUCGGAAUUACUGGGCGUAAAGCGUGCGCAGGCGGUUUGCUAAGACCGAUGUGAAAUCCCCGGGCUCAACCUGGGAACUGCAUUGGUGACUGGCAGGCUAGAGUAUGGCAGAGGGGGGUAGAAUUCCACGUGUAGCAGUGAAAUGCGUAGAGAUGUGGAGGAAUACCGAUGGCGAAGGCAGCCCCCUGGGCCAAUACUGACGCUCAUGCACGAAAGCGUGGGGAGCAAACAGGAUUAGAUACCCUGGUAGUCCACGCCCUAAAACGAUGUCAACUAGUUGUUGGGGAUUCAUUUCCUUAGUAACGUAGCUAACGCGUGAAGUUGACCGCCUGGGGGAGUACGGUCGCAAGAUUAAAACUCAAAUGAAUUG